AUGCAGGCGUCAAAUGCCACUCUCUCAGGGGAGAGGAAGCACUGUACCAAUACCCGCUGGAACCAGCUGGGGACUUUCCUGAAUGUAGGCUUUGAUUCAAUUGAUUCCGCCAGUGCUUAUCACACUGAGGACCUGGAUUGCAUCCCUUGCUCCCAAUGUGUCUUGGAAGUGCCUAGGCCAGUGAACUGCUCAUCACACACCGUUGGUGCUGCUUCAUGUAGACUCUUCACAAUUUCUUUUGUUGUGGAUAAAAGAGCAGCUGGAAAAAGAUUUUUGCAGAAGAAGUGGUGUCUGCUUCAGUCCUUGGGCACAGCUACUCCAUGGCUCUUUCAWGGGAAAGAUAAGCUCUCACUGGAGCAUGGCCUGAAGCCCUGGAUGCCCUGCUCUCCAGAUGUGUUAGUUGCUCACCUAUCCUUGUCCUGAGAAUUGAUUGUUGCAUCCAUGGGAGAUUGCUGGCAUGAAGAAAACACUUGGAGUAAUUGAGAUCCAGAAUGUAACUGAGGCUGCACAAUCCAGGCUGUCCACUGCCGUUUUCUACUCUGCAUUCAACAGCUCAGAGCCACAAUGGACAGCAGUGACAGACAAGUGGUGUCCCUCAAGGAUGUCUCCUGCAAAUCCAUCGUCUGUUAAAACAGCCCUUGGAAAUGAACUGGUUUGGACGRGCUCCUGCUAAUUUUGACACGGCAGUCAGGAAAGCCCUGAUGUGGUGGAAAGCAGCAAUAAUUUGCCCAGCAAGGAAGAGGUAYGUCAAGGAUCAAACACACUCAUAAGGCUGAGCAGCAGCUGGGAAAGAGGGAGCCAGGGAGGAGAGGGAAGGGUGACCUGGCUGUUCCCAGGUGAGACAGAGCCACUUGACCAAGCGCUGCUGGGGGGAGUCGCGACAUUGCUGCUGCUCCUCUCCCUUCCUCAGCUCCUGACUYGGCAGAGCCCAGUGACACCGAGUGGUGACAGGCAGGGUCCUGCAGCUCUGAUGGGAUGAGAAGUGCCACACAUUCAGGAAAAUGAGACUGUGCUGAGCUCAGGGCCGCAGGGUCAGAGUAAAACUCCUGUGAGAUUUCUCCAGUCUGCCCCAUAGGGUCAUCAGGAAUGAGAAGGG